rnacentral:misc_RNA from 1 species
GAAAUGCGAUAAGUAAUGUGAAUUGCAGAAUUCCGUGAAUCAUCGAAUCUUUGAACGCACAUUGCGCCCUCUGGUAUUCCGGGGGGCAUGCCUGUCCGAGCGUCAUUGCGAACCCCUCAAGCACGGCUUGUGUGAUGGGCCCUCCCGCGUCUUGGUCGUCAAGACGGGCCCGAAAUGCAGUGGCGGCUUCGCGGUUAUCCGAUCAACCAGAGCGUAUGGGGGCUUUCUCUCUGUCACACGCCCGCGGCGCGGACCGACGCCUGUCGACCUUCAUUCAUCGUUUUCUCGGUUGACCUCGGAUCAGGUAGGGAUACCCGCUGAACUUAAGC